UGCGAAUGUAUGUGUGUUUGGAUUGGAUGUCUUUAUCUUAGAUACUUGUGAGAUGCACGAAUUAAAAAUGGGUGAUUGAAGAUGUAUGAUCAGAGAAAAUAUGAAAUAGUUCAUGAAGUACGACAUAAACUACUACAAAGAGGAAGGGAAUGAUGUGGAAGAUUUACUUUGGAGUAGCUUAAGGGAAGUCGUUAAGAAAAUGUAACUCCCUUUAAGAAAAAGAAAGAUUGCCUUAAUUGGUGAAGAACACAAAAGGAAAUUUUUAAGAUUUGUAGGUCUUU
rnacentral:lncRNA from 1 species